GGACGUUCCCAAAGGAAACUGAUGGACUCCCAGAUAGCUGAUUCUAUAGACUUCAUGGUAGAGAGAUUAGAGAGUCUGAACCAGAGUGAGUUGGCAUCCAGACUCACCCUCAACUGCUCUCCAGCCUAUAUUCAGCCACAGAAGGUUCAGAAGUGAGAUGGUCUGUCAGGCUCUCCCUAGGUACAUUUACAUUGUGUGCUAAGGAGA